rnacentral:rRNA from 1 species
GAGGUCCAGCCUGCCCGGUGAUAUCUAUUCAACGGCCGCGGUAUUUUGACCGUGCGAAGGUAGCACGAUCACUUGUCUUUUAAAAAAAGACCUGUAUGAACGGCUAAACGAGGGCUUAACUGUCUCCUUUUUCCAGUCAAUGAAAUUGAUCUUCCCGUGCAGAAGCGGGAAUUCAAACAUAAGACGAGAAGACCCUGUGGAGCUUUAGAUGAAAACCCAGGCCACGUCAAAACCCCCUAUUAAAGGCACGAACUAAGUGGACACUGCUAACAUGUCUUCAGUUGGGGCGACUGCGGAAAAAUACAAAACCUCCGCGUGGAUAAGGAGCAUUAAACUUUACUCUUACAUUUUAUGGGCCCCCGCCCUAAUAAACAGAAUCUCUGACCAAUCAGACCCGGCUUAACUGCCGAUUAACGAACCAAGUUACCCCAGGGAUAACAGCGCAAUCCCCUUUUAGAGCCCUUAUCAACAAGGGGGUUUACGACCUCGAUGUUGGAUCAGGACAUCCUAAUGGCGCAACCGCUAUUAAGGGUUCGUUUGUUCAACGAUUAAAGUCCU